rnacentral:tRNA from 1 species
GGGAAUAUAGCUCAGUGGCACAGCACCUGCCGGGCAAACCUAAGUCCUGAGUUCAAUUCUCAGUACCCUCA